rnacentral:rRNA from 1 species
GACGUAGGGCGCGAGCGUUAAUCGGAAUUACUGGGCGUAAAGCGUGCGCAGGCGGCUUUGCAAGACAGAUGUGAAAUCCCCGGACUCAACCUGGGAACUGCAUUUGUGACUGCAUCGCUGGAGUGCGGCAGAGGGGGAUGGAAUUCCGCGUGUAGCAGUGAAAUGCGUAGAUAUGCGGAGGAACACCGAUGGCGAAGGCAAUCCCCUGGGCCUGCACUGACGCUCAUGCACGAAAGCGUGGGGAGCAAACAGG